rnacentral:rRNA from 1 species
GACGAACGCUGGCGGCGUGCUUAACACAUGCAAGUCGAACGGAAAGGCCCUGCUUUUGUGGGGUGCUCGAGUGGCGAACGGGUGAGUAACACGUGAGUAACCUGCCCUUGACUUUGGGAUAACUUCAGGAAACUGGGGCUAAUACCGGAUAGGAGCUCCUGCUGCAUGGUGGGGGUUGGAAAGAUUCGGCGGUUGGGGAUGGACUCGCGGCUUAUCAGCUUGUUGGUGGGGUAGUGGCUUACCAAGGCUUUGACGGGUAGCCGGCCUGAGAGGGUGACCGGCCACAUUGGGACUGAGAUACGGCCCAGACUCCUACGGGAGGCAGCAGUGGGGAAUAUUGCACAAUGGGCGGAAGCCUGAUGCAGCAACGCCGCGUGCGGGAUGACGGCCUUCGGGUUGUAAACCGCUUUCGCCUGUGACGAAGCGUGAGUGACGGUAAUGGGUAAAGAAGCACCGGCUAACUACG